GCUCACUUCAGCUGCACGUAUAUUAAAAUCAAAACAAUACAGAGAUUACCACAUCUUCUUCACAAGAAUGACAUGCAAAUUUAUGAAGCAUUCGAUAUUUAA